GACGUAAAAACAAGGCGAAGCGACUGUCAGCAACCUUUCAACAUUUUCUUCUCAUUUCUCAUCUUAGUUAACGUUUAAGUUUAGGGAUUUUAUCGAAAAAAGGAAAACAACUAACCAGCGUUAUUAAACCAGCAUUUUUUAGGCAAUUUGAAAAAGGUUAACUGGGAAAAAAAACGAAAAGGACGUCACCCAGUUGAUAUUCUGUCAACAACAAAGAGACGCCAUCUUUGAAAUAUUUUUUCGGAGGAUAACAGGACGGGACAUAAGCUUUCCGACGAGUCCUGGUGAAAGUCUAGUCAUUGUUCAUUCGAAGUAAUGACUUGGUCAGGCAACAUGAAGCCUAGGGAAACAGGGAGACGCGCCGGUAGAAGGCGAACCAGCAGCGGGAGCUCAAGGGGUUCACCCUCGCCAAAACUGUUGGAGGAGCGAUGCAGUCCAGUAGAGGGUACAGAAUUACCAUUUUUUGCAAGACCUAUGUUGUCAACAUUGAGGGUCUCUCCUCCACCCAGGCCUGCUGAUGCGACCUGUUCAAGGUCACCAUCCCCUGAAGGGAACGCAUACGCUGGGGCCAAGUUCCAUGACCCCCCUUCACCAGAGUUCCUUCCAAAGCCCCCAUCACACUGGUUUUGUUUCACUGCAGCCCCUGAACAGCCUGUGAGCGGCUGUAGUGACAUAUCGAGUCAGUUGAAAAUGCUGCUCAAGGUGGCGCCACCAACAAUGUAGGAAGUGGUUAUUUUGUUGAUGGACUAGAUAACAAAUUGAAAUCAUUCCACAUUUCAUUAUUCAUUUUUCAUUGAUAAAACAUUGUAGAGCGAUUCUCAUGAGUCAGUAUUAAUUUCAUAGCCAUUACAGAUAUCAUGAGUCUUGUUAUGCAUUCAUUUCACAUUGUCAUGUAUUUCAUUCAUUAAGUGAUAUUUCACUGUUCCUAUUAAAUAUUUUCUUUCUUUCCAUGCAGAUUGUAAAGUUUGAACUAAAAUGGGACAAGAAAAAGCAAUCCACAAUAAACAGAACAAGGCAGAUUUUUAAUUUGCAAAAUAUUGUGUUUGAAUUUAUUCACUUGAAAUUACAGAGUAAAUUUGUGUUAUGUUUUCAUUUUUUAAGUAAAUACAACUGAGUAGAUUUGUGUAAUGUUACAAUCCUCUUUUUAAUGCCACUGAUUGUUUAUAUUCAUCUUUAUAUUUAAAGGAAAAGAAAGUUUUAACUUAAUUUUAUGCAUGUUUUAGACCUUGCCACAUUUUUUGGCCUUCCAUUUUAGUUUAAACUAUUUUAUUUUAUUUCUUUCACAUUUCACUACUUGCUGACUCCUUGUGAUGAAUUCUAUUGUACGCAAUUUUAUUGUUAAACUCUUUCAAGGGCUGAAAUAUCGGUGACGGUAGAAGCGAUUCUUUCACCUCGCUAUGUGCAAUAUUGUUUGUACAGAAAUCGUCAAAUAUUUGUAUAUUCAAAUAUUUUUUAUGUUUAGAUUUUUAAUAUUUUAAACAUGAAACUCUGUUUUUAGUAUGGUGCAUUUAUUUGAGAAAUGUCAGUGAUGACAUUUGUUUACAGAGGGUAUUUGUUAAGUUGAUGCUAAAGAAAUUACGAAAUCUGGGUUGAUAUAUAGUUGAUUUUUGUUAUAAUAUUUUUUGUGUGUGUGCUAAUGCAGCAAUUGUGCCAGAUGUUGUCAGGUGAUCAGAUGAUCUCAACUGUUGUUAUGUGUGGAAAAUAAUGUUAAGAUGGAGAGCUUGUGUGCAACAUCAUUUGACAUCUACUUGAUUAUUUAUUACUUAACAUAAAGUGUGCUUUACUUUUUGAAGGGGUUGGGAAAUUAAAUUUAAGUAUGGUUUCAUUUUAUCUUACAAAUUUGAUGUUGCACAAUGUUUGGGUAAUGUGCUGGGAAAAAAGCAAGGAAAUGGUCUUUGUUAACCUUACAGUUGGUUUUAUUCUAUUAUCUGUGUAUUUUGUGCUUUAUGUAGAUAUUAUAUUUCUAUUUUUCAGGAAUUUCGGUGUAAUUGUCUUUGAUUUUGUUAAGAGAGCGUCUUUUGAGGGAAAACUUUUAUAAAUUGUGUAGGGAACUUUAAACAUAGGGAUUCGAAUAAAACUGUGGAAUUUAAAUAACAGAAAAGCAAUGACUGAAAAUUCCUGGAACAGAAUGUUUAUUCAAGCUGAAGUUACAAUAAAUCGAAUAAAAUGCACGAAAUGUUUUGGAUAACUAUUUCCUUCAUUUUAUAUGUUCAUUUAUUAUAAUUCUUAGAAUGAAUAACUGAGGUAAAUUAUUACUUACCAACUGAUAUUGAUUCUCUGUUUUGAAACUCGGUCGGAAAAAUACAUAUCAAAGUCUGACACAUGUGCUGAUCUUAAAUGAUUUCUUUGACUGAUUAAUUUAUAAUAUUUGGAUUUUGUAUUUAAAAUCAAGGCUUAACAUAUAUUUUUUGAACAACUUCCACAUGUAUAAUUAUAACAGCUAUUUAAAAUUGAUUUACCAUGUUGAAAUUAUUCAUUUACCAAUGAAUUUGAUUAAACAAUCUCUCACAGAUAUUUUAGACACAAAUAUCUUUUGUCCAAGCCUUGAUUUGUUCUUGGUAUCUUCAGCUUGACUAUUUUGUUAUAGAUUUAUUUUGUAUCUAAAAUUGUGAUAUGAUUUUAAUGCAUAUGACAGUUCUAGUUUUGAUUGCAUGUUCAAAUUGUACAAAACAACAUAUUUUGGUCUAACGUGAUAAAUGCUUGAGUAUUUGUAAAUCUUAUGAAAAAAAGUACAUUACAGUGUUAACAUAAGUUCUAGAGACAAACCAAAUCUAAACAUAUUCCAUAAGAUUUUAUUUAAGAUUCUUACAGACCUUGUCAGACCAUUGUUAAGAACUCUUUUUGUUCUGUUGUCAUAUUUGUAUUGUAUUGUCUCGGUGCAGCAUUGUUACUUACCCACAGCUGUGUGUGAAUGAUUCGAACACUACCCUAUACUCCAAGGCUGGUUUGUUGAAAAGGACUUGAAUCCACGGAUACAGCCAGCUUGGGUCCAUUGAAUACUCGCUAACCCUGACAUGAUGGUAGUGGCAUCUAGCCGCUACCCACCGAGCUGUGGAAGUUUGAAGGAUGUCUUUCAUAGGGUAUGCUGCCAAGAGUUGUGUUCAUUCAUCAUUUGUGCAUUUGAACUGUCCUCUUUGUAGAAUGCGGCCAUAUUUACUACGACAAAAUGUGUUUUGUCUUCAGGGAUGUAAUAUUCACCACGAGACUUUGUAGGAAUAAACGUUCUUAUCAGGGAUUAUUUUGUGAAUCCAGAAUUUGGUGUCAAACACCUAUGGAAUGCUAGAGCAUUUUUGGAAAUGGAACUCUUUAUCUAGCACGAGCGAAUGAUGUCACUAUUUGGAUAUAAUUGGAGAUGUAAAUAAUCUCGGAAAAGUGUUUCACGAAAGGCUUAAAUAUGGAUUGUUCAGCGAGAUUACAUAACACAGACGUGUUUACUCCUUCAGUGAUGUCUUUAUCGACCAAUUUGCAUUGAUCUCAGUUAUGGAAAUGAACUGUAUCGACUGUUACAGCCUGCUUGCUUGCCAGUUAAGUAGAGCUUAACUUAUCCACCCAUGCAAAUUACGAAGAAUCUUGUGAAGCAACGUUAUUGUUCAGAUAGACAAACGAGUCUCAUGUGAAAAAAGGUGAAUAAAAUACGGAUUAUAUGAACGGAUGAAAUGUUUAUUGUGGAAAAUUUCAGAACGAUGAACAGUGUUAUUGCUAUUGUGCAAGUCCUUAAUGUGAUAAAGCAGAGUUUCAAACAAUACAUGUUUUGUACAGACGGGAAAGAAAUCACUUCUACCGACCCGUGGAUACUUCAGCCCAGGGAUUCAUCACAACGCGUCAGCGUCCUAUCGUCGACCUCUCCGACCUCUCUCUUCCGACAGCCAGAACCUCCUUCUACC